GAGAGGUGUGGUGUGAGGCCAGUUCCUGAAGAUGCUGGUGCUUCUGCUGCUUCUGGGACCCAGCUCUGGCCUUGGCGCCCUCGUCUCUCAGCAGCCCCGCAGAGCUGUCAGGAAGAGUGGCGACUCUGUGACCAUCCAGUGCCGUGCAGUGGACUUCCAAGCCACAAGUGUGUUCUGGUACCGUCAGCUCCCGAAACAAGGCCUUGUGCUGAUGGCAACUUCUAAUGUGGGCACUGAUGCCACAUACGAACAAGGUUAUAACAAAGACAAGCUUCCCAUCAGUCAGCCAAACCUAACAUUUUCAUCUCUGAAGGUGACAAGUGUGGAUCCUGCUGACAGCAGCCUCUACUUCUGUGGUGCUAGAGACACAGCGCUUGAGGAGCAGCACUUUGGGCAAGGGACCAGGCUCACUGUGCUAGACGAUCUGAGCCGGGUGCACCCGCCCAAGGUGGCUGUGUUCGAACCCUCGGAAGCAGAGAUCGACCGGACCCAGAAGGCCACGCUCGUGUGCCUGGCCACGGGCUUCUACCCCGACCACGUGGAGCUGACCUGGUGGGUGAACAGGAAGCAGGUCACCACUGGGGUCAGCACGGACCCUGAGCCCUACAAGGAGGACCCCACGCGGGAGGACUCCAGAUACUGUCUGAGCAGCCGGCUGAGAGUGACCGCCGCCUUCUGGCACAACCCCCGCAACCACUUCCGCUGCCAAGUCCAGUUCCACGGGCUCACGGAGGAGGACAAGUGGGAGCAGGACAGGGCCAAGCCCGUCACCCAGAACAUCAGCGCCGAGGCCUGGGGCAGAGCAGACUGUGGUGUCACUUCCGCGUCUUAUCAGCAAGGCGUCCUCUCUGCCACCCUCCUCUAUGAGAUCCUGCUGGGGAAGGCCACCCUGUACGCUGUGCUGGUCAGCGCCCUGGUGCUGAUGGCCAUGGUUAAGAAAAAGGAUUCCUGAGACCAGCUCCAAAAGUGCACCCCGAGUCAUUCUUUAUCGUGGCCUUGGAUUCUCCUUAACAUCUUUCCAGCCUAUGUUCCUCAAGAGUUUCUCUCUCUCUCAUCUCCUUCCUUUACGGAUGUCUGCCCCUUCCCUCAGCUUCCCUGCAGGUGGAAUGCCGCAUCCCAAACCUAAAAUUGACUGAAUCAAUAAAAGUGUCAUGAUGGG